UUCUGCACCCUGCAAUAAUUUUAUUUCCUUUGAUUUAUUUUUUUUCUUGGUUUGGCCCAUAGAGGUAUUUCAUAUUGAAGGCCUUCUUCACGCAUAUGAUGGUGCUUUGCUGAACCUCGAUGCUGAACAGAAAAGCACUAGUGAUCUUACUGGAAGAUCCAUGGGAAUUGAUGGCACUUGUUGGCUAAUGACAAGGAAAAGAACCCAAGAGGAUUUUCCGCCCUGCUGGCCUGGGCGAGACAGGACACUCUCCACUUCUGGCAAGUUAGCCUUCACCUCAAUGGCCUUCAGAUGAUACUAAGGUAACAAGAGGUAAGCAGCUUGGAAAACCAUCAGUUUAAAUCAGCUUAAAGCUCAUAUCCAAAGCAUUU
rnacentral:lncRNA from 1 species